rnacentral:misc_RNA from 1 species
AAUUCUCAACCCCCCUAUUUUGUAAUGAGAUAGGAGCUAGGGCUUGGAUGUGGUUGUUGCAGGCUCUUUAAGUAGAGCCAGCUCGACUGAAAUACAUGAGCAACCCAGUUUGAAAACAAAGCGGCUUGACUCGACGUAAUAAUUAUUCGUUGAGGACGCUUACAUUUCAAGAUAGUUGGUGCUUCUAAUGCGUACCUCGGUACAAUCUUAAGCUU